AUUGAACGCUGGCGGAAUGCUUUACACAUGCAAGUCGAACGGUAGAGGGGGCAACCCCUUGAGAGUGGCGAACGGGUGAGUAAUAUAUCGGAACGUGCCCAGUCGUGGGGAUAACGUAGCGAAAGUUACGCUAAUACCGCAUACGAUCUAAGGAUGAAAGCGGGGGACUCGCAAGAGCCUCGCGCGAUUGGAGCGGCCGAUAUCAGAUUAGGUAGUUGGUGGGGUAAAGGCUCACCAAGCCAACGAUCUGUAGCUGGUCUGAGAGGACGACCAGCCACACUGGAACUGAGACACGGUCCAGACUCCUACGGGAGGCAGCAGUGGGGAAUUUUGGACAAUGGACGCAAGUCUGAUCCAGCCAUUCCGCGUGCAGGAUGAAGGCCCUCGGGUUGUAAACUGCUUUGUACGGAACGAAAAGGUUCCUAUUAAUACUAGGAGCUCAUGACGGUACCGUAAGAUAAGCACGGCUAACUACGUAGCCAGCAGCCGCGGUAAAGU
rnacentral:rRNA from 1 species